AAUAAGAUAGCUUUAAAGCCCUGCUCAGCUUUUGAAUGUUGGGAAUUGACCCAGAGGUGGCUGUAACCUAAGAUGGUUCCUUCAGUAAUGACCAUUUUUUCUUUUUCAAGAUGAUGAUUAUUCCCCACCUUCUAAGAGACAAAGACCAACGAGCCGCCACAGCCACCAGUCCCAGAACCCGCCAAUGCUGGGGAACGGAAAAUGAGGGAGUUCAACUCUGGCCCUCACAAUCCAGUGGAGGAGACGCAACUCAUCUGCCUCUGUCCCUCUGGGCACGCCUCGUGCCAGGUGCAUCUGUGGACAGGGGCCAUGCUCCUGGGCUUCCAAAGUUGGAGAAAGCUGCCAGGCUCAGGUCUGAAGGCCAGAAUUCUACAGUAAGUCCUACUGAGUCAAGGUGGGAGCAGGGUCGGUAGCUUCCGAGGCUCUGCGGGAGAAUCUGUUUCCUGGCCGUAGAGGUGGCCUGCACUCCUCAGCCUGUGCUGCCCGUCUCGAAUGACUGGAGUUUCCUGCUUCUGUCACUACACCUCCCACCCUCUCCAUCACCUGCUCUGCUCUUACAAGGAUCCGAGU
rnacentral:lncRNA from 1 species